UUUGCUGUCAAAAGUUAAGCUAUCUUUUCUUCGAAAAUUACCAGUUAAUUCAUAGGUAAAUUAGAGUGAUUUAGUCUGUAACUUGUAAGUGAUGUGUUCUAUUCCGUCUACACGUUGGAUAACCUUGAUGUUUCGCAUCAACUUACAGGAGGAAACGUGAAAGUGUCGUGGCCGUCGUGCAGCCUACUGUCAACUAUUUUCUUCAAAAUCAUUGUAAUCUACUGAAUGUGCCAUCGAAAUGAUACAGAUCGCCAACCCCAGCAUGAACCAAUCUCUCAUUCCAUCUUGUAGAGAACCUUGGAUAACUGAUUGGUGGUUUCAUGUAUCAUAGACAACAAGCACAUUGAUGAUUCAAAUUAUAAACAAGGUGACAUUUUUCUUUUUUUCAUUUACAUGUUCUAAAUUACAGGAAUAUAAUUUGCAUUCUGACAGACUUUAUGAGAAGUCAUGUUCUAUGAAGAAAAAGGACGAGGACUGUACAGUCAACAAGGUCCCUUGUUUUGCU